rnacentral:misc_RNA from 1 species
GAAAUGCGAUAAGUAAUGUGAAUUGCAGAAUUCAGUGAAUCAUCGAAUCUUUGAACGCACAUUGCGCCCGCCAGAAUUCUGGCGGGCAUGCCUGUUCGAGCGUCAUUUCAACCCUCGAGCUCCCCUUUCGGGGGGAGCCCGGCGUUGGGGACCCGGCGCUAACAACGCCGGCCCCGAAAUGGAGUGGCGGCCCGUCCGCGGCGACCUCUGCGUAGUAACAACCACUCGCACCGGGACCCGGGCGCGGCCACACCGUAAAACACCCCACCUUCCGAAUGUUGACCUCGAAUCAGGUAGGAAUACCCGCUGAACUUAAGC